UACAGAGGUCUCAAGCGUUGUUCGGAUUCAUUGGGCGUAAAGGGUGCGUAGGCGGCGCGGUAAGUCGGUUGUGAAAUCUCGGAGCUUAACUCCGAACCUGCAUUCGAUACUGCCGUGCUUGAGGACUGGAGAGGAGACUGGAAUUUACGGUGUAGCGGUGAAAUGCGUAGAUAUCGUAAGGAAGACCAGUGGCGAAGGCGGGUCUCUGGACAGUUCCUGACGCUGAGGCACGAAGGUCAGGGGAGCAAACGGG
rnacentral:rRNA from 1 species